rnacentral:rRNA from 1 species
UACGUAGGGUGCAAGCGUCGUCCGGAAUUAUUGGGCGUAAAGAGCUCGUAGGCGGUCUGUCGCGUCGGAUGUGAAAAUCCAGGGCUCAACCCUGGACCUGCAUUCGAUACGGGCAGACUAGAGUUCGGUAGGGGAGACUGGAAUUCCUGGUGUAGCGGUGAAAUGCGCAGAUAUCAGGAGGAACACCGGUGGCGAAGGCGGGUCUCUGGGCCGAAACUGACGCUGAGGAGCGAAAGCGUGGGGAGCAAACAGG